UGAUGUAGCUCAGUUGGUAGAGCAGCUCAUUCGUAAUGAGCAGGUCGAAGGUUCAAGCCCUUUCAUCA
rnacentral:tRNA from 1 species